ACCUACGGGGGGCAGCAGUGGGGAAUAUUGCACAAUGGGGGAAACCCUGAUGCAGCGACGCCGCGUGAGUGAAGAAGUAAUUCUUUAUGUAAAGCUCUAUCAGCAGGGAAGAAAAUGACGGUACCUGAGUAAGAAGCCCCGGCUAACCACGUGCCAGCAGCCGCGGUAAUACGUAGGGGGCAAGCGUUAUCCGGAUUUACUGGGUGUAAAGGGAGCGUAGACGGCAGUGCAAGUCUGGAGUGAACGGCGGGGGCUCAACCCCCGGACUGCUCUGGAA
rnacentral:rRNA from 1 species